GUAAACUUCAAGGAUGCAUGUUAAGACCUUCGAUCCAAAGAGAAAAGGAGCCCAGCUUCUAGAACUUUUAGAGCACCAGUUAUAGACCCUGUCACCACUGGGAGAAGCUCAUCGAUUGACUCUUGAAAUGGGCAAGGGUCCAUACGACAACAGCCCUACCAGAGAACCUGCAGGCCUGGCAGGAAAAGGGGAAGGAGGGAGUUUCAGCCAGCUCAGCCCAUGUCUCCUUCCACCAAGAUUACUAUCCUGAUCUGUUCCCCAAACUGCAAAUCCAAUCAAGGCUGCUACCUGCUCUCAAGAUUUCAAGGCUCCUUGCUACCCAUCACUGGGCUCAGCAGACUGGAGCCCUCACGACCAAUCCUCCCAGAUGCCUGUGAUGUUCUACGGGAGCACAGCCUUGCCCAUUCCUUAUCCUACUGGCUGUGGCUGCUUUCCUGCUACUAUGGCAGAGCUGAGUAUUUGCAAUAUAGAUCCUGUGGCUCACAAAGCCUAAACUAUUUAUUAUCCAGCCUCUCCUUUAAAAGAGUUUACUGGCCCUUGACCUAGAAGUUCAAGAGCAUCCAGAUGUUUGUCCAGGUUGCAGAUGCUUUGUGCUUUAUUCCCUGUCAGCUUCAUUUGACUCACCUCCCACAACAACUACCCCUUCUGCUCAUGCUACGUACCCUACCAAUCGAAACUGAACUCCGCAGUAAUCUCAAAUAUACCAAAAUGUU